AGAACGAACGCUGGCGGCAUGCCUAACACAUGCAAGUCGAACGGGCCCUUCGGGGCUAGUGGCGCACGGGUGCGUAACGCGUGGGAAUCUGCCCUUAGGUUCGGAAUAACUCAGGGAAACUUGAGCUAAUACCGUAUAAUGACUUCGGUCCAAAGAUUUAUCGCCUAGGGAUGAGCCCGCGUAGGAUUAGCUUGUUGGUGAGGUAAAGGCUCACCAAGGCGACGAUCCUUAGCUGGUCUGAGAGGAUGAUCAGCCACACUGGGACUGAGACACGGCCCAGACUCCUACGGGAGGCAGCAGUGGGGAAUAUUGGACAAUGGGCGAAAGCCUGAUCCAGCAAUGCCGCGUGAGUGAUGAAGGCCUUAGGGUUGUAAAGCUCUUUUACCCGGGAAGAUAAUGACUGUACCGGGAGAAUAAGCUCCGGCUAACUCCGUGCCAGCAGCCGC
rnacentral:rRNA from 1 species